CUAUGGCUUAGUUUAGUCAUGGCGGAAGGAG
rnacentral:ncRNA from 1 species